rnacentral:misc_RNA from 1 species
GAAAUGCGAUAAGUAAUGUGAAUUGCAGAAUUCAGUGAAUCAUCGAAUCUUUGAACGCACCUUGCGCUCCUUGGUAUUCCUUGGAGCAUGCCUGUUUGAGUAUCAUGAAAUCUUCAAAGUAAAUCUUUUGUUAACUCAAUUGGUUUCUACUUUGGUAAUGGAGGUCUUUGCAGCUUCACACCUGCUCCUCUUUGUUCAUUAGCUGGAUCUCAGUGUUAUGCUUGGUUCCACUCGGCGUGAUAAGUUAUCUAUCGCUGAGGACACUGUAAAAGGUGGCCAAGGUAAAUGCAGAUGAACCGCUUCUAAUAGUCCAUUGACUUGGACAAUACUUUUAUGAUCUGAUCUCAAAUCAGGUAGGACUACCCGCUGAACUUAAGC